rnacentral:lncRNA from 1 species
UGAAAUAAGCAGUGGCAUUAAUGUCAUUUGUGACAGAUACAUUCCUGAUUGAAGUGUGGUGCUGAUUUGUACUUUGAAGGGUAGUUUGAAAAAAGUUUGUGCACUUGUUUGCUGAGUUUUGUUAGUGUAACCCCUUUUUCACAAGGGAAGAUAAAUCCUCUCUCCUCCCACCAUUUGGGCUCAAUCAGACAUUUUUGUUUCUUUCUGCUUCAUUACAGCAACUGAUAUAGGCCAACUCUCCCUUUUUCCAAGGCAAGAUCUAUUUGGACAUCUAUACCUGAAAGGACAUCAAAGAGGAAGACUGUAGCCUUCUGGGGACAGGAGUUUUCCUUGCUAUGGAGAGAGAGAGAGAGAGAGACAGAGGCUUAUUAUCAGAGUUAUUACUAGAAGACCAGCUGAGGACACGGAGAGCAAAGACCUUGGGGUCCAGUCUUGUUUAUGCAACUUUAUGAAGGACAAAAUUCCUAAUCUUCAUGGAGCAAGAUACCUUUCCCAGAAUGCAUAUACACUUGAUUCUGGACAAGACAGAGAAGGUCAAGAAGAAAACAAUGUAAUGUGGAACUGCUUCGAUACUCCACUCUUUUGUCUCCGUGUGUGGUCCUGUAUUACAAAAUUCGGGCAGCGUGUUGCCCUAGUGGAUGAAAAGUGAGGUAAGAAGAUUGUUCUUGAUGAUCCUGAUGAUCCAUUCUUCCAUUCUCUCAUAAACUGACUUAUGGACAUAAUUUAAAAGUGAGUUGAAAUGAGAAAAGUACUAACUGCCAGAUCUCCCUAAAUGUAGUUAUAGGGCAUGUCAGCACGUAUACAUUAUGAAAGUUGCCUUACAAAAAUACUCAAUAUUUGCAAUUUAUAAGUGAGAACUUCUAUUAAACUAUUUAAAAGUAAUUUUCCAUUUGGACUUAAAAAGCUUAUACUACAUGGUGGCACUGGAGAUUUUCUAGUCUUUCAUGGUCCUAAUGAAGGCAUCCAUAAACCCAAAACACAUGUAAAUUGUGUCAGAUUACAUAAAUUUUUCAUGCAUCUGUUAGUAUUAAUGAUGCAACACACUAUUUAUUUCAUUUUUAAAUGAAUUUUCAGAAAGCCAAGAUAAAGAAGGCCACUAAUAUGAGGGUUUUGUUUCCUCUAAUAAAUCAUAGCGUUUGAUUUGUCA